GGAAGCAGCUUGCUGCUUCGCUGACGAGUGGCGGACGGGUGAGUAAUGUCUGGGAAACUGCCUGAUGGAGGGGGAUAACUACUGGAAACGGUAGCUAAUACCGCAUAACGUCGCAAGACCAAAGAGGGGGACCUUCGGGCCUCUUGCCAUCAGAUGUGCCCAGAUGGGAUUAGCUAGUAGGUGGGGUAACGGCUCACCUAGGCGACGAUCCCUAGCUGGUCUGAGAGGAUGACCAGCCACACUGGAACUGAGACACGGUCCAGACUCCUACGGGAGGCAGCAGUGGGGAAUAUUGCACAAUGGGCGCAAGCCUGAUGCAGCCAUGCCGCGUGUAUGAAGAAGGCCUUCGGGUUGUAAAGUACUUUCAGCGGGGAGGAAGGUGUUGUGGUUAAUAACCACAGCAAUUGACGUUACCCGCAGAAGAAGCACCGGCUAACUCCGUGCCAGCAGCCGCGGUAAUACGGAGGGUGCAAGCGUUAAUCGGAAUUACUGGGCGUAAAGCGCACGCAGGCGGUCUGUCAAGUCGGAUGUGAAAUCCCCGGGCUCAACCUGGGAACUGCAUUCGAAACUGGCAGGCUUGAGUCUCGUAGAGGGAGGUAGAAUUCCAGGUGUAGCGGUGAAAUGCGUAGAGAUCUGGAGGAAUACCGGUGGCGAA
rnacentral:rRNA from 1 species